rnacentral:lncRNA from 1 species
AAACAGCCUCUUCCCUCCCUUUACCCAGUGGAAGUGUUGUUUGACAUGUGUCUGAAAUAAAUACAACAUUGCACACCAUAUUUUAUAGGGGACUUUUACGCAAUAUGACCAGAUGUUUAAUUUAAGCUGUAAACCUCUCACUUUCUUUAAAUAAGUCUGUCAGUAAAACUAGAGCGAAAAAAAUCCUGUGCCUUUAAAGAUCAUUAAGGCAAUAUAGCUUGUUCUCCACACAAAUAUUUUCAGAGGGAAGGUUAACUUAUGUUUCCUUUUAUUUUAUUUAUUGAGGACAUAAUAUGGACUGUUUAGCUUGACAUUUACACAUCAGUCCAUUAGCUUACACCAUUUGAGGUGAGUCAUGCUCUGUCACGAGAUCUAGUGAUGAUGUUAAAUACAGAUGGAGGUUUCAGGUUUGUAAAUUACAUCGUUGCUUUGUUACGCUCUAGUCAUAAAGUGGAACAUUUCUUUCAAGGUUUACCACACUACCACACUCCAUCCCACCAAAAUUAAACACAUUUAGUCAGAUUGUUUUCUCCAAAUGCUUAAUGCUGAUCUAUAACUCAUGGAGUUGUCACUGACCAUGUUACCUGACCAGUAAAAGGAUUUACCAAACUGAGUUUACUGGUCAGGUGAUGUGGCCAGGAAAAGGUUUUACCAAACUGAGUUUACUGGUCAGGUGAUGUGGUCAGGAAAAGGUUUUACCAAACUGAGUUUACUGUUCAGGUGAUGUGGUCAGGAAAAGGUUUUACCAAACUGAGUUUACUGUUCAGGUGAUGUGGUCAGGAAAAGGUUUUACCAAACUGAGUUUCCUGGUCAGGUGAUGUGGUCAGGAAAAGGUUUUACCAAACUGAGUUUACUGGUCAGGUGAUGUGGUCAGGGAAAGGUUUUACCAAACUGAGUUUACUGGUCAGGUGAUGUGGUCAGGAAAAGAUUUUACCAAACUGAGUUUACUGGUCAGGUGAUGUGGUCAGGAAAAGGGUUUUACCAGGCUGAGUUUCCUGGUCAGGUGAUGUGGUCAGGAAAAGGGUUUUACCAGGCUGAGUUUACUGGUCAGGUGAUGUGGUCAGGAAAAGGUUUUAUCAAACUGAGUUUACUGGUCAGGUGAUGUGGUCAGGAAAAGGUUUUACCAAACUGAGUUUACUGGUCAGGUGAUGUGGUCAGGAAAAGGGUUUUACCAGGCUGAGUUUACUGGUCUGGUGAUGUGGUCAGGAAAAGGGUUUUACCAGGCUGAGUUUACUGGUCAGGUGAUGUGGUCAGGAAAAGGUUUUACCAAACUGAGUUUACUGGUCAGGUGAUGUGGUCAGGAAAAGGUUUUACCAAACUGAGUUUACUGGUCAGGUGAUGUGGUCAGGAAAAGGGUUUUACCAGGCUGAGUUUCCUGGUCAGGUGAUGUGGUAAGGAAAAGGGUUUACCAGGCUGAAUUUACUGCCUACUAGGCACAGAUGUCAAUUCAAUGUCUAUUCCACGUUGGUUCAACUUAAUUUCAUUGAAAUCACGUGGAAACAGUGUUGAUUCAACCAAUGGGUGGGUGGUCAGGUGACUUGGUAAAGAAAAAUGGUUUACCAGACUGAGUUUACUGGUGAGGUGAUCUGGUUAACAAGACUGGGUUUCCUGGUCAGGUGAUGUGGUCAGGAAAAACUCAUGGCCUUACUUAUGGGCAAUAGCAGUAGGACAUUAAAUGUUGCCAUGAUUCAUGACAUCCUCCAUUCAUGAUUCACAGGAAGGGACAAGUUAAUGAUCUGGGGCUUGUGGAGAGUUGAGUCUCUCUAUCGUGUUGAUUUGAGGGUGCUAAUGUUGAGGUGGAGGCCUACUCUGUUGAGCAGUGGUCUGAUAUGGCUCUUCAUUGGCGGUGUCUUCCCAUCCUCCCCCGUGUUGUGUGCGUCAAGCCCAUGGGACAGUAACAAGGUCCAUAUGUAGCCUCUUCCUCCGGCCUCCCCCCCAAACCUGAGGGGGGUAGUGUUAACAGGAUGACAGCCUAUUGAUUUACUCACAGAAAGAGAAGGGGGAAUGAAAGAGUGAGAGUGAGAGAGAGAGAGAGAGAGAGAGAGAAAGAAAGAAAGAAAGAAAGAAAGAAAGAAAGAAAGAAAGAAAGAAAGAAAGAAAGAAAGAAAGAAAGAAAGAAAGAAAGAAAGAAAGAAAGAAAGAAAGAAAGAAAGAAAGAAAGAAAGAAAGAGUAAUAGCUCAAAUAAUUUGAAGUAGAAUCCCCAAAACAUACGGUCAAGAAUCAAGACUAGUUUCUGGGUUGGAAGGUGCCUGUAACUACCACCAGAAACUACUAGAUGUGUGUUUAAUGUGACUUAAACUGCUAGUAAUUUUAGCUUGCUUAUUUUUUUAUGACUAUGUUUUUAUGACUGACACUUUUUAUGACUAACAUUUUCUUACCAGAAGCAUUUGAAGAAGUCAUCCUUUUCA